rnacentral:rRNA from 1 species
CAGCAGCCACGGGAAUACGAAGGGGGCUAGCGUUGUUCGGAUUUACUGGGCGUAAAGCGCACGUGGGCGACUUUGUAAGUCAGAGGUGAAAGCCUGGAGCUCAACUCCAGAACUGCCUUUGAGACUGCAUCGCUUGAAUCCAGGAGAGGUGAGUGGAAUUCCGAGUGUAGAGGUGAAAUUCGUAGAUAUUCGGAAGAACACCAGUGGCGAAGGCGGCUCUCUGGACUGGUAUUGACGCUGAGGUGCGAAAGCGUGGGGAGCAAACAGGAUUAGAUACCCCUGUAGUCCCUGUCUCUUUACA